AUUGAACGCUGGCGGCAUGCUUUACACAUGCAAGUCGAACGGCAGCGCGGUCUUCGGCCUGGCUGCGAGUGGCGAAAGGGUGAGUAAUGCAUGUGAACGUGCCCAGUAGUGGGUGAUAGCCAGGCGAAAACCGGAUUAAUACCGCAUACGACCUGCUGGUGCAAGCGGGGGACCGAAAGGCCUCUCGCUAUUGGAGCGGCUGAUGCCGGAUUAGCUAGUUGGUGGGGUAAAGACUUACCAAGGCGACCAUCGGUAGCUGGUCUGAGAGGACGACCGGCCGCAUGGGGACUGAGCCACGGCCACGACUCCUACGGGAGGCAGCAGUGUGGAACUGUGGACAAUGGGGGCAACCCUUAUCCAGUGAUGCCGCGCGUGAGACGACGGCCUCGGGGUUGUAAAGAGGUUUUGUUCGGGAAGAACUCCUUUGGGCUAAUACCACGGGGGGAUGACGGUACCGGAAGAAGAAGCACCGGCUAACUACGUG
rnacentral:rRNA from 1 species